UGGUGAUGAGGUGCUUCUGCCUCCUGUGA
rnacentral:piRNA from 1 species